rnacentral:rRNA from 1 species
AGAGUUUGAUUAUGGCUCAGAUUGAACGCUGGCGGCAGGCCUAACACAUGCAAGUCGAGCGGUAGAGAGAAGCUUGCUUCUCUUGAGAGCGGCGGACGGGUGAGUAAUGCCUAGGAAUCUGCCUGGUAGUGGGGGAUAACGUUCGGAAACGGACGCUAAUACCGCAUACGUCCUACGGGAGAAAGCAGGGGACCUUCGGGCCUUGCGCUAUCAGAUGAGCCUAGGUCGGAUUAGCUAGUUGGUGAGGUAAUGGCUCACCGAGGCGACGAUCCGUAACUGGUCUGAGAGGAUGAUCAGUCACACUGGAACUGAGACACGGUCCAGACUCCUACGGGAGGCAGCAGUGGGGAAUAUUGGACAAUGGGCGAAAGCCUGAUCCAGCCAUGCCGCGUGUGUGAAGAAGGUCUUCGGAUUGUAAAGCACUUUAAGUUGGGAGGAAGGGCAGUUACCUAAUACGUGAUUGUUUUGACGUUACCGACAGAAUAAGCACCGGCUAACUCUGUGCCAGCAGCCGCGGUAAUACAGAGGGUGCAAGCGUUAAUCGGAAUUACUGGGCGUAAAGCGCGCGUAGGUGGUUAGUUAAGUUGGAUGUGAAAUCCCCGGGCUCAACCUGGGAACUGCAUUCAAAACUGACUGACUAGAGUAUGGUAGAGGGUGGGUGGAAUUUCCUGUGUAGCGGUGAGAUGCGUAAAUAUAGGAAGGAACACCAGUGGCGAAGGCGACCACCUGGACUGAUACUGACACUGACGUGCGAAAGCGUGGGGAGCAAACGCGAUUAGAUACCCUGGUAGUCCACGCCGUAAACGAUGUCAACUAGCCGUUGGGAGCCUUGAGCUCUUACUGGCGCAGCUAACGCAUUAAGUUGACCGCCUGGGGAGUACGGCCGCAAGGUUAAAACUCUAAUGAAUUGACGG